rnacentral:rRNA from 1 species
GAUGAACGCUGGCGGCGUGCCUAAUACAUGCAAGUCGAGCGAACGGACGAGAAGCUUGCUUCUCUGAUGUUAGCGGCGGACGGGUGAGUAACACGUGGAUAACCUACCUAUAAGACUGGGAUAACUUCGGGAAACCGGAGCUAAUACCGGAUAAUAUUUUGAACCGCAUGGUUCAAAAGUGAAAGACGGCCUUGCUGUCACUUAUAGAUGGAUCCGCGCUGCAUUAGCUAGUUGGUAAGGUAACGGCUUACCAAGGCAACUAUGCAUAGCCGACCUGAGAGGGUGGUCGGCCACACGGGAGCUGAGCCACGGUCCUGACUCCUACGAGAGGCAGCAGUAUGGUAUCGGCCGCAAAGGUCGAAAGCCUUACAGAGCAGCGCCGCGCGAGUGAUGAAGGUCUUCGGUUCGUAAUACUCUGUUAUUGGGUAUGAACAUAUGUGUAAGUAGCUGUACACUUCUUGACGGUACCUAGUCAGAAAGCCACGGCUAACUACGUG